ensembl:misc_RNA Metazoa_SRP Metazoan signal recognition particle RNA
GCCAGGUGUGGUGGCUCACGCCUGUGAUCCCAGCAUUUUGGGAGGCCGAGGCAGGUGGAUCACCUGAGGUCAGGAGUUCUAGACCAGCCUGGCCAACAUGGUGAAACCUGUCUCUG